rnacentral:rRNA from 1 species
AGGAAAGGUGGGGGGGUGCCUAAUACAUGCAAGUCGAGCGAACAGAUGAGGAGCUUGCUCCUCUGACGUUAGCGGCGGACGGGUGAGUAACACGUGGAUAACCUACCUAUAAGACUGGGAUAACUUCGGGAAACCGGAGCUAAUACCGGAUAAUAUAUUGAACCGCAUGGUUCAAUAGUGAAAGACGGUUUUGCUGUCACUUAUAGAUGGAUCCGCGCCGCAUUAGCUAGUUGGUAAGGUAACGGCUUACCAAGGCAACGAUGCGUAGCCGACCUGAGAGGGUGAUCGGCCACACUGGAACUGAGACACGGUCCAGACUCCUACGGGAGGCAGCAGUAGGGAAUCUUCCGCAAUGGGCGAAAGCCUGACGGAGCAACGCCGCGUGAGUGAUGAAGGUCUUCGGAUCGUAAAACUCUGUUAUUAGGGAAGAACAAAUGUGUAAGUAACUAUGCACGUCUUGACGGUACCUAAUCAGAAAGCCACGGCUAACUACGUG